GGAUAACCUGCCCUUGGGACCGGCAUAACCCCGGGAAACUGGGGAUAAUUCCGGAUAACGCAUAUUUGCUGGAAUGCUUUAUGCGUCAAAAGGAUUCGUCUGCCCAAGGAUGGGUCUGCGGCCUAUCAGGUAGUAGUGGGUGUAAUGUACCUACUAGCCAGCGACGGGUACGGGUUGUGAGAGCAAGAGCCCGGAGAUGGAUUCUGAGACAUGAAUCCAGGCCCUACGGGGCGCAGCAGGCGCGAAAACUUUACAAUGCGGGAAACCGUGAUAAGGGGACACCGAGUGCCAGCAUCAUAUGCUGGCUGUCCGGAUGUGUAAAAUACAUCCGUUAGCAAGGGCCGGGCAAGACCGGUACCAGCCGCCGCGGUAACACCGGCGGCCCGAGUGGUGAUCGUGAUUAUUGGGUCUAAAGGGUCCGUAGCCGGUUUGGUCAGUCCUCCGGGAAAUCUGAUAGCUCAACUAUUAGGCUUUCGGGGGAUACUGCCAGACUUGGAACCGGGAGAGGUAAGAGGUACUACAGGGGUAGGAGUGAAAUCUUGUAAUCCCUGUGGGACCACCUGUGGCGAAGGCGUCUUACCAGAACGGGUUCGACGGUGAGGGACGAAAGCUGGGGGCACGAACCGGAUUAGAUACCCGGGUAGUCCCAGCCGUAAACGAUGCUCGCUAGGUGUCAGGCAUGGCGCGACCGUGUCUGGUGCCGCAGGGAAGCCGUGAAGCGAGCCACCUGGGAAGUACGGCCGCAAGGCUGAAACUUAA
rnacentral:rRNA from 1 species